rnacentral:rRNA from 1 species
GACGAACGCUGGCGGCGUGCUUAACACAUGCAAGUCGAACGAUGAACCCGGAGCUUGCUCCGGCGGAUUAGUGGCGAACGGGUGAGUAACACGUGAGUAACCUGCCCUUGACUCUGGGAUAACUGCGGGAAACUGUAGCUAAUACCGGAUACGACCCUCGGCGGCAUCGCCAGGGGGUGGAAAGAAUUUCGGUCAAGGAUGGACUCGCGGCCUAUCAGCUAGUUGGGGAGGUAACGGCUCACCAAGGCGACGACGGGUAGCCGGCCUGAGAGGGUGACCGGCCACACUGGGACUGAGACACGGCCCAGACUCCUACGGGAGGCAGCAGUGGGGAAUAUUGCACAAUGGGCGCAAGCCUGAUGCAGCAACGCCGCGUGAGGGAUGACGGCCUUCGGGUUGUGAACCUCUUUUAGUAGGGAAGAAGCGAAAGUGACGGUACCUGCAGAAAAAGCACCGGCUAACUACGUGCCAGCCGCCGCCGUAA